ACCCAAUGGGUCACACACAAGAAAACUUAUCAAGGGUCUAAUUAGAUUAGAUCAUGUUUGCAAGAUAAACAUCCUAGCAGGUGUUGCAAACCUUAGCUCCUAAUUCGAAUUGGAUUCGAAUCUGAUUCGAAUUGGAUUCGAAUCUGAUUCGAAUUUGAUUCGAAUCUGAUUCUUAAUUGAUCUAAUUUGAUUAGAUCAUAUUCUAAUAUGGGUUAGCCAAGAGUUGGUACCUAAUUGGCUUGGUUUGAGUCUAAUUGGAUUAGAUUUAAUAAAUCAUUCAAUCUAGACCGUUAGAUCUUGAUC
rnacentral:lncRNA from 1 species